AAUUUUAUAGUGUAAUCAACACAAUGUAAUUUCAUUACAAAAAUGCUCAAACAAGCUUUAAUUA
rnacentral:tRNA from 1 species